rnacentral:rRNA from 1 species
GUGCCAGCCGCCGCGGUAAUACCGGUAGCCCAAGUGAUGGCCGAUCUUAUUGGGCCUAAAGCGUCCGUAGCUGGCCGCGCAAGUCCAUCGGAAAACCCACCCGCCCAACGGGUGGGCGUCCGGUGGAAACUGCGUGGCUUGGGACCGGAAGGCGCGACGGGUACGUCCGGGGUAGGAGUGAAACCCCGUAAUCCUGGACGGACCACCGAUGGCGAAAGCACUUCGAGAAAACGGAUCCGACAGUGAGGGACGAAAGCCAGGGUCUCCAACCGGAUUAGAUACCCGAGUAGUC